rnacentral:rRNA from 1 species
GGGGGGGGGGGGGGGGGGGGGGGGGGGGGGGGGGGGGAGGGGGGGGGGGGGGGGCUGGCUGCUCUGGCGUGCGCGGGGGGCGGGUGGGGGGCGCGUGGCGGGCCUACCUACAAGACUGGGGUAGCUUCUGGAGACCGGAGCUAAUACCGGGUAAUAUCUUCAACGGCCUGGGUCACUCCGGCAAGCCCGUAUGCCUUGCACUUAUAGAGGGCUCCCCGCCGCAUUAGCGACGUGGUACGGGAACGGAUUACCAAGGCAACGAUGCCUAGCCGCCCUGGGUGGAUGAUCGGCCACACUGGAACUGAGGCACGGUCCAGACUCCUACGGGAGGCAGCAGUAGGGGAUCGUCCGCAAUGGGCGAGAGCAUGACGGAGCAACGCCGCGUGAGUGAUGAAGGUCUUCGGAUCGUAAAACUCUGUUAUUAGGGAAGAACAAAUGUGUAAGUAACUAUGCACGUCUUGACGGUACCUAAUCAGAAAGCCACGGCUAACUACGUG